GACGAACGCCGGCGGCGUGCUUAACACAUGCAAGUCGAACGAUGAACCCGGAGCUUGCUCCGGCGGAUUAGUGGCGAACGGGUGAGUAACACGUGAGUAACCUGCCCUUGACUCUGGGUUAACUGCUAGAAAUGGUAGCUAAUACCGGAUACGACCCUCGGUGGCAUCACCAGGGGGUGGAAAGAAUUUCGGUCAAGGAUGGACUCGCGGCCUAUCAGCUAGUUGGUGAGGUAACGGCUCACCAAGGCGACGACGGGUAGCCGGCCUGAGAGGGUGACCGGCCACACUGGGACUGAGACACGGCCCAGACUCCUACGGGAGGCAGCAGUGGGGAAUAUUGCACAAUGGGCGCAAGCCUGAUGCAGCAACGCCGCGUGAGGGAUGACGGCCUUCGGGUUGUAAACCUCUUUUAGUAGGGAAGAAGCGAAAGUGACGGUACCUGCAGAAAAAGCACCGGCUAACUACGUGCCAGCCGCCGCAGUAA
rnacentral:rRNA from 1 species